AGAAGUCAACGCCACAUCACCCCCGCAGCCUCUCCCUCUUGAGAGGCUGAGCUGCUUAAGCAGUCACCACGUCUGUGAGCCCAGGAUUGCCAAGGUCAAAGAAAAUCAAUCCACAGGCACUUCCUCUGCUUGGGGGCUGACGUCAGCAUGUUAUUCCAGGCCAAUGGAUUUUAAGAACAUGGCCUUAGCUUCCAGCCUACCAGCAGAGACUUCUAAGGGACAGGCCAUGAGUCAUAGUUGUUCUUCAUUCAUGGAAUGCUUGGAAUGAAGUGGACUGUUGCAUGCCAGAGUGGUCAAGGACUGAAGUCAGAGGCUCUGCAAGCAAUUCAGGUGGUAGAGAGAAGGCAGAUGCCAUAAACUUUGCCCUUCUCCUUCACUCAGUUCUUGCUCCCCACCUUUCCAUUAGAUGUCUGAGCCUAACUUGCUCAGUGGAUGGGCAUUUGUUUGCACAUCUGAUUCUUUUCCAGCUCUGCAUGAAGCUGUUGCUUUCUGAUCCUUCUUUCUCUGGACUAAAGGCACCCAAUCAGAAUAUUUUACAUUUGAAAAGAAAUUAUAAGUCUAUAUACCUCCGCCAAUCACUGUGUUCUAAUUCUGCCUCCUUUUUUCCUCCAAUAAAGAUAUAGACAUGCAAACA